GUGCUCACUUUGUCAGCACAUAUGCUAAAAUUGGAACAAUACAGAGAAGAUUAGCAUUGUCCCUGCGCAAGGAUGACAUGCAACUUCAUGAAGCAUUCCAUUUUUUU